AGAUCUCAAGGUUUCGAAUUGCAAAUUCGAAUAAGGGCUGAAAAGCUCUGAGGUCUU
rnacentral:tRNA from 1 species